rnacentral:rRNA from 1 species
UACGUAGGGGGCUAGCGUUGUCCGGAAUCAUUGGGCGUAAAGAGCGCGUAGGCGGCCAGAUAAGUCCGGUGUGAAAGUCACAGGCUCAACCUGUGAAUGCCGCUGGAAACUGUCUGGCUAGAGUCCGGGAGGGGCGAGUGGAAUUCCUGGUGUAGCGGUGAAAUGCGCAGAUAUUAGGAGGAACACCAAUGGCGAAGGCAGCUCGCUGGAACGGUACUGACGCUGAGGUGCGAAAGCGUGGGGAGCAAACAGG